GAUAGGUGCUGCAGUUAAAAGCUCGUAGUUGGAUUUCGGGUGGGGCCUGCCGGUCCGCCGUUUCGGUGUGCACUGGCAGGGCCCACCUUGUUGCCGGGGACGGGCUCCUGGGCUUCACUGUCCGGGACUCGGAGUCGGCGCUGUUACUUUGAGUAAAUUAGAGUGUUCAAAGCAGGCCUACGCUCUGAAUACAUUAGCAUGGAAUAACACGAUAGGACUCUGGCCUAUCCUGUUGGUCUGUAGGACCGGAGUAAUGAUUAAGAGGGACAGUCGGGGGCAUUCGUAUUUCAUUGUCAGAGGUGAAAUUCUUGGAUUUAUGAAAGACGAACUACUGCGAAAGCAUUUGCCAAGGAUGUUUUCAUUAAUCAAGAACGAAAGUUGGGGGCUCGAAGA
rnacentral:rRNA from 1 species